GAUAAGAACGUAGCAAAAUGCGAUAAGUAAUGUGAAUUGCAGAAUUCAGUGAAUCAUCGAAUCUUUGAACGCACAUUGCGCCCGCUGGUAUUCCGGCGGGCAUGCCUGUUCGAGCGUCAUUUCAACCCUCAAGCCCCCGGGUUUGGUGUUGGGGAUCGGCUCUGCCCUUCUGGGCGGUGCCGCCCCCGAAAUACAUUGGCGGUCUCGCUGCAGCCUCCAUUGCGUAGUAGCUAACACCUCGCAACUGGAACGCGGCGCGGCCAUGCCGUAAAACCCCAACUUCUGAAUGUUGACCUCGGAUCAGGUAGGAAUACCCGCUGAACUUAAGCAUAUCAAUAAGCGGAGGA
rnacentral:misc_RNA from 1 species